AUACUUACCUGGCAGGGGAGAUACCAUGAUCACGAAGGUGGUUUUCCCAGGGCGAGGCUUAUCCAUUGCACUCCAGAUGUGCUGACCCCUGCGAUUUCCCCAAAUGCGGGAAACUCGACUGCAUAAUUUGUGGUAGUGGGGGACUGCGUUCGCGCCCUCCCCUA
rnacentral:snRNA from 1 species